rnacentral:rRNA from 1 species
AGUGAACGCUGGCGGUGGGCCUAACACAUGCAAGUCGAACGGCAGCACAGUAAGAGCUUGCUCUUACGGGUGGCGAGUGGCGGACGGGUGAGGAAUACAUCGGAAUCUACUUUUUCGUGGGGGAUAACGUAGGGAAACUUACGCUAAUACCGCAUACGACCUACGGGUGAAGGCAGGGGAUCUUCGGACCUUUCGCGAUUGAAUGAGCCGAUGUCGGAUUAGCUAGUUGGCGGGGUAAAGGCCCACCAAGGCGACGAUCCGUAGCUGGUCUGAGAGGAUGAUCAGACACACUGGAACUGAGACACGGUCCAGACUACUACGGGAGGCAGCAGUGGGGAAUAUUGGACAAUGGGCGCAAGCCUGAUCCAGCCAUACCGCGUGGGUGAAGAAGGCCUUCGGGUUGUAAAGCCCUUUUGUUGGGAAAGAAAAGCAGCAGGUUAAUACCCCGCUGUUCUGACGGUACCCAAAGAAUAAGCACCGGCUAACUUCGUG